UACAGAGGUCUCAAGCGUUAAUCGGAAUUACUGGGCGUAAAGCGUGCGCAGGCGGUUAUGCAAGACAGAUGUGAAAUCCCCGGGCUCAACCUGGGAACUGCAUUUGUGACUGCAUGGCUAGAGUACGGUAGAGGGGGAUGGAAUUCCGCGUGUAGCAGUGAAAUGCGUAGAUAUGCGGAGGAACACCGAUGGCGAAGGCAAUCCCCUGGACCUGUACUGACGCUCAUGCACGAAAGCGUGGGGAGCAAACAGG
rnacentral:rRNA from 1 species